rnacentral:rRNA from 1 species
ACCGGUUGAUCCCGCCAAGAGUCAUAUGCUUGUCUCAAAGAUUAAGCCAUGCAUGUGUAAGUAUGAACUAUUUCAGACUGUGAAACCGCGAAUGUCUCAUUAAAUCAGUUAUAGUUUGUUUGAUGGUACGUGCUACCGGAUAACCGUAGUAAUUCUAGAGCUAAUACAUGCAACAAACCCCAACUUCCGGAAGGGAUGCAUUUAUUAGAUAAAGGUCGACGUGGGCUUUUGCCCGCUGUCCGAUGAUUCAUGAUAACUCGAUGGAUCGCGACGGCCCUCGUGUCGGGCGACGCAUCAUUCAAAUUUCUGCCCUAUCAACUUUCGAUGGUAGGAUAGGGGCCUACCAUGGUGGUGACGGGUGACUAAGAAUUAGGGUUCGAUUUCGGAGAGGGAGUUUUAAGAAAAAGCUACCACAUCCAAGGAAGGCAGCGAAGCAGCAAAUUACCCAAUCUUGACACGGGAGGUAGUGACAAUAAAUAACAAUACCGGGCUCUUCGAAGUCUGGUAAUUGGAAUGAGUACAAUCUAAAUCCCUUUAACGAGGAUCCAUUGGAUGGCAAGUCCGGUGCCAGAAAGCUACGGUAAUUCCAGCCCAAUAGCGGAUAUUUAAGUUGUUGCAGUUAAAAAAGCUCGAGUUGGACUUUGGGAUCGGUCGGUCGGUCACCUCGCGGUGGUGCACCGGUCCGCCCCAUCCCUUCGUCGGCGAUGAUGCGUUCGGCCUGGCUCAGUCGGGUCGUGCCUCCGUACUGUUAUUUUUGAAGAAAUUAGAGUGUUUUCAAAGCAAGCCCACGCCUCUGGAUACAUUAGCAUGGGAUAACAUCACGGUGAUUUCGGUCCUAUUGUGUUGGCCUUCGGGAUCGGAGUAAUGAUUAAGAGGGACAAUCGGGGCAUUCGAUUUAUAGUCGAGGAGGUGAAAUUUUGGAUUUAUGAAAGACGAACCAUUCGCGGAAAGCUUUUGCCAGGAUGUUUUCAUUAAUCAAGAAUGAAAGUUGGGGCUCGAAGAUGAUCGAUAUCGCCCUAGUCUCAACCAUAAACGAUGCCGACCGAGUGGAUCGGGCAGAUGUUGUUUUUAGGUCUCCACGGCACCUUAUGAGAAAUCAAAGUCUCUUUGGGUUCCGGGGAGUAUGGUCGCAAAGGUGGAACAUAAAGGAAUUGACUGGAAGGGCACCACGAGUGAGUAGAGCCUGCGACUUAAUUUGACUCAACACGGGGAAACUUACCAGUCCCGACAUAGCAAAGGAUUGAUGACCGAGAGCUCUUUUUCUUGAUUCUAUGGGUGGUGGUGCAUGGCCGUUCUUAGUUGGAGCAACGAUUUGUCCGUUCAUUCCGAUAACGAACGAGACUCCUCACCCGCUAACUAGCUACGUGGAGGCAUCCCCGCCGCCUUCUUAGAGGGACUAUGGCCGUUUAGGCCACGGAAGUUUGAGGCAAUAACAGGUCCUGUGAUGCCCUUAGAUGUUUUGGGCGCACGACGCUACAAUUCGAUGUAUUCAACGAGUCUAUAGCCUUGGCCGAAAAGCCGGGGUUAUCUUCAAAAUUUCAUCGUGAUGGGAUAGAUCAUUGCAAUUGUUGGUCUUCAACAAGGAAUUCAUAGUGAGCGAAGUCAUCAGGCGUUGACUACGCCCCCGCCCUUUGUACACACCGCCUGUUGUUCCCACCGAUUGAAUAGUCCGAUGAAGUGUUUGGAUCGAGGCGACGGGGGGGUUCGCCACCGCGACGCUAAGUCCAGAAGUCCACUGAACCUUAUCAUUUAGAGGAAGGAGAAGUCGUAAAAAGGUUUCCGUCGGUGAACCUGCGGAAG